GUCCUCUUGUCUGUAUAUGAGGUCUGACCUGCCCAGUGAAAAAGUUUUAACGGCCGCGGUAUUUUGACCGUGCAAAGGUAGCAUAAUCAUUAGUCUUUUAAUAGGAGGCUGGUAUGAAGGGUUUGACGAGUUGUUGACUGUCUCAUUCAAUUUGAAAUUAAAAUUUAACUUUUCAGUUAAAAGGCUGAAUUGAUUUUGGAAGACGAGAAGACCCUAUAGAGCUUUAUAAACAAUAUCUUUUAUUUAAAUUUUUGGUUUAUUGUAUUUCUUUAUUAGUUUGUUUAUUUUGUUGGGGUGACAAAAAUAUAUACUUAACUUUUUUAUUUAUAAAACAUUGAUUUAUGAUUGUUAGAUCCAGUCGUACUGAUUGUUAGAUUAAGUUACC
rnacentral:rRNA from 1 species